rnacentral:tRNA from 1 species
GGAGGGGUGUCCGAGCGGCUAAAGGAGGCAGACUGUAAAUCUGUUGGCUACGCCUACGUAGGUUCGAAUCCUACCCCCUCCA